rnacentral:rRNA from 1 species
UACGUAGGGUGCGAGCGUUGUCCGGAAUUAUUGGGCGUAAAGAGCUCGUAGGCGGUCUGUCGCGUCGAUCGUGAAAACUUGGGGCUUAACCCUGAGCUUGCGGUCGAUACGGGCAUGACUGGAGUUCGGCAGGGGAGACUGGAAUUCCUGGUGUAGCGGUGAAAUGCGCAGAUAUCAGGAGGAACACCGGUGGCGAAGGCGGGUCUCUGGGCCGAUACUGACGCUGAGGAGCGAGAGCGUGGGGAGCGAACAGG